AGUGGGAUAACUGGGUCAAAUGGUGGUUCAAUUCCAAGUUUUCUGAGGAAUCUCCAUACUGCUUUCCAGAGUGGUUGCACCAAUUUGCAGUCCAACCAGCAAU
rnacentral:pre_miRNA from 1 species